AGAGUUUGAUCCUGGCUCAGAAUGAACGCUAGCGGCAUGCUUAACACAUGCAAGUCGAGGGGUAUAGUUCUUCGGGAUUAGAGACCGGCGGACGGGUGAGUAACGCGUAUGCAAUCUGCCUUUCACAGAGGGAUAACCCAGAGAAACUUGGGCUAAUACCUCAUAGUAUAUCGAGUUGGCAUCAACAUGAUAUUAAAGUCACAACGGUGAAAGAUGAGCAUGCGUCCCAUUAGCUAGUUGGUAGGGUAACGGCCUACCAAGGCAACGAUGGGUAGGGGUCCUGAGAGGGAGAUCCCCCACACUGGUACUGAGACACGGACCAGACUCCUACGGGAGGCAGCAGUGGGGAAUAUUGGACAAUGGGCGCAAGCCUGAUCCAGCAAUGCCGCGUGCAGGAUGACGGUCUUAUGGAUUGUAAAGUGCUUUUAUACAGGAAGAAACAACUCUACGUGUAGAGUCUUGACGGUACCGUAAGAAUAAGCACCGGCUAACUCCGUGCCAGCAGCCGCGGUAAUACGGAGGAUCCAAGCGUUAUCCGGAAUCAUUGGGCGUAAAGGGUCCGUAGGCGGUCAGUUAAGUCAGUGGUGAAAGCCCAUCGCUCAACGGUGGAACGGCCAUUGAUACUGUCUGACUUGAGUUAUUAGGA
rnacentral:rRNA from 1 species